AUAUAUUAAUUUGGGGCAGUUGUUGGGGAUCUCUAUGACUAUCCCUCUUUGUAAACGAUGACCUGCUUGGUGACAUUUUCACGCACGCAAGAUCCAAGGCACGAGUUUCGAAGAUCGAUAUUGCAUCGGAUACCUGAGAAUCACUCGUCUUCUUGGCAGUUUAUGCAUCGAAGUUUUCAAGGGCCGGGUAACGGGAGAUCAGCAAAAUGCCAGCCAGCAUGAAUGCUGUCUGAGAAGAAUAUAUAGUACUAUAACCGACACUGUUAGACCAUGCCAAGAUGCACACAGUACUGAAGCUUCAAGCAGAUCUCAUUUAGUUUAAUCUAUGGUAGUUGUGUGAUCUACUCACUACAGUACUGAAGCUUCAAGCAGAUCAUGAGAAAGGGAAAUAUCAUUUUUUAUCAUAAGAUCUAUGGGGAGGAAUUUGUCUUAAGAGAAGAUAGAUUCAUUGAAUGAUGAUAUUUCAGGUGAAGAACUGAUUCACUAAUUUUCCUUAAAUUGUGAGUUGACAGCCUCAGACAAUAUAAAGCGCCCAUAAAUAGAACUUUGCCUUUUAUUUUAUAUAUCAUUGAGUGGAAACGAUUACAACGACCAAAGAAAUCAAAGAAAAGAGAACAAUACCGAAAGUGUCCAGGGAUCCGCCCAUAGAAAUGACCUUAUCUUCUGCAAAAAUAUCCACCAAACUCAGCUAAUGAAGAAAUUAUAAAAUUUAAAGCCAUUUAUCUAUAUUAACUAGCUAGCAAGGGAGCAGGAGACGUACUGCACUCGUUUGGGUGGCAGAUGCACCUCAACCCAACUCCACAAUUACCAUUUGGUUUCUCGCACUCGUUACACGGAUUCGGUACGUGAUCAGGAAUGUCAAAGGAAAUCCUUGUUCCCAGCUCAUGAUAUUCUUCGUAGUUUUCACCUGACAAGGAUCUGUGUAAAUGGCUGUAAUGAGAGCAGUUGAAAUCUUUUGGACUAAAACCCACUCCCAGCUUUUCAAGAUCAUGAACAAGUAAACAUGAUGAAUGAGGAACUCCUGGUUUUUGUUCUAGUUUCUGAACUUUAGAAGAAGAUCCACAUGAUGCAGGUAAGCGAGUGCAGUUUCGGAUAA